rnacentral:rRNA from 1 species
AACAGGAUUAGAUACCCUGGUAGUCCAUGCCGUAAACGUUGGGCGCUAGGUGUGGGGCUCAUUCCACGAGUUCUGUGCCGCAGCUAACGCAUUAAGCGCCCCGCCUGGGGAGUACGGCCGCAAGGCUAAAACUCAAAGGAAUUGACGGGGGCCCGCACAAGCGGCGGAGCAUGCGGAUUAAUUCGAUGCAACGCGAAGAACCUUACCAAGGCUUGACAUGCAGGGUAAUCCGGCAGAAACGUCGGGUCCGCAAGGGAUCCUGUACAGGUGGUGCAUGGUUGUCGUCAGCUCGUGUCGUGAGAUGUUGGGUUAAGUCCCGCAACGAGCGCAACCCUCGUUCUAUGUUGCCAGCGAGUUAUGUCGGGGACUCAUAGGAGACUGCCGGUGACAAAUCGGAGGAAGGUGGGGAUAACGUCAAGUCAUCAUGCCCCUUAUGUCUUGGGCUACACACGUGCUACAUUGGCCGGUACAAAGGGCUGCGAUGCCGCGAGGCGGAGCGAAUCCCAAAAAGCCGGUCCCGGUUCGGAUGGAGGCUGAAACUCGCCUCCAUGAAGGCGGAGUUGCUAGUAAUCGCGAAUCAGCAACGUCGCGGUGAAUACGUCCCCGGGCCUUGUACACACCGCCCGUCACACCACGAAAGUUGGCAAUACCCGAAGCCGGUGGGCUAACCCGCAAGGGAGGCAGCCGUCGAAGGUGGGACUUGUGAUUGGGGUGAAGUCGUAACAAGGUAACC